rnacentral:rRNA from 1 species
UACGUAGGGGGCUAGCGUUGUCCGGAAUCAUUGGGCGUAAAGCGCGUGUAGGCGGUUUGUCGCGUCUGCCGUGAAAAUCCGGGGCUCAACCCCGGACUUGCGGUGGGUACGGGCAGACUAGAGUGUGGUAGGGGAGACUGGAAUUCCUGGUGUAGCGGUGAAAUGCGCAGAUAUCAGGAGGAACACCGGUGGCGAAGGCGGGUCUCUGGGCCGAUAUCGACGCUGAUGCGCGAAAGCGUGGGGAGCAAACAGG